UAGGGAAUCUUCGGCAAUGGGGGGAACCCUGACCGAGCAACGCCGCGUGAGUGAAGAAGGUUUUCGGAUCGUAAAGCUCUGUUGUUAAGGAAGAACGAGUGUGAGAAUGGAAAGUUCAUACUGUGACGGUACUUAACCAGAAAGGGACGGCUAACUACGUGCCAGCAGCCGCGGUAAUACGUAGGUCCCGAGCGUUGUCCGGAUUUAUUGGGCGUAAAGCGAGCGCAGGCGGUCAAUUAAGUCUGAUGUGAAAGCCCCCGGCUCAACCGGGGAGGGUCAUUGGAAACUGGUUGACUUGAGUGCAGAAGAGGAGAGUGGAAUUCCAUGUGUAGCGGUGAAAUGCGUAGAUAUAUGGAGGAACACCGGUGGCGAAGGCGACUCUCUGGUCUGUAACUGACGCUGAGGUUCGAAAGCGUGGGUAGCAAACAGG
rnacentral:rRNA from 1 species